GAGGGUAUAGCUCAGUGGUAGAGUGCGUGCUUAGCAUGCACGAGGUUCAAUCCCCACUACCUCCA
rfam:Camelus ferus unplaced genomic scaffold scaffold444, whole genome shotgun sequence.